UCUGAAGGCGCCUGGUAAAUCGCAAAGGCCUGGCUACUGCUGAAAGGCAGGCAUCUCCAGAGCACAGCCUCGGGCGUGAUUGGGUUAGAAUGGUUUUCCAAAAGCUUGCGAGGCUUGAUCAUCCUUGCUUUAGUCGGCAAGGAAGUGGGCUCAAAGAGGUUAUCCCAACAUAGGAGGGGCGCCCGACCCGUAAGUGGAGAAACCGGAACUCGACCUGGAUCUCUGGACUGCCAACUUCAGGCCCUUUCCAGCCUCAGUAUUUGCUUACCAGGAAGUUUUCAGGCUCUCAGACUUCGGGUUGCCCUGUGCUCUCUACUUCUCUAUACUCCCAUUGGCCUAUCAGCGACCACCAGAGGACAAUGGGAAGGGCCCUUUGCUAAAGACAGGGCACAAAACUCAAUGAGACCCCUUAAGUUGCAGCGAAAAAGAAACAGAAGAGGCUGAACUCAGAGCCAACCUGCUGCCUCCCACACAAUGUAAUUGAUUCUUGAGGCCGCCAUUUGGAAGUGGAGCUCCCUACAGUCUGAGCAGCAGAAUGUGGGGAAGGGCAUUUUAUUUUAUUUAUGUUUUAACCAUCAAUGUAUCUUUAAUUCGCAAAUAAAAGCUGUAGCAAAAUGUCAUC